UCCUACGGGAGGCAGCAGUGGGGAAUCUUAGACAAUGGGCGCAAGCCUGAUCUAGCCAUGCCGCGUGUGUGAUGAAGGUCUUAGGAUCGUAAAGCACUUUCGCCAGGGAUGAUAAUGACAGUACCUGGUAAAGAAACCCCGGCUAACUCCGUGCCAGCAGCCGCGGUAAUACGGAGGGGGUUAGCGUUGUUCGGAAUUACUGGGCGUAAAGCGUACGUAGGCGGAUUGGAAAGUUGGGGGUGAAAUCCCAGGGCUCAACCCUGGAACUGCCUCCAAAACUAUCAGUCUAGAGUUCGAGAGAGGUGAGUGGAAUUCCAAGUGUAGAGGUGAAAUUCGUAGAUAUUUGGAGGAACACCAGUGGCGAAGGCGGCUCACUGGCUCGAUACUGACGCUGAGGUACGAAAGUGUGGGGAGCAAACAGGAUUAGAUACCCUGGUAGUCCACACCGUAAACGAUGAAUGCCAGUCGUCGGGCAGUAUACUGUUCGGUGACACACCUAACGGAUUAAGCAUUCCGCCUGGGGAGUACGGUCGCAAGAUUAAAACUCAAAGGAAUUGACG
rnacentral:rRNA from 1 species